rnacentral:lncRNA from 1 species
UUUUUUUUUUUUUUUUUUUUUCUAAUGGCCACACCUGCAGCAUAUGGAAGUUCUUGGGCCAGGGACUGAAUCCGAACUGCAUCUGUGGCAGUGCUGGAUCCUUUUAAUCCACUGUGCUGGGCCAGGGAUUGAACUUGCCUCCGCAGUGAACCAAGCUGCUGUAGUCAGAUUCUUAACCCUCUGUGCCACGGCAAGAACUCCAAGGAUGUUGGUCUUUAUCUUAAGAGAAAUUAGAAGAUACAGAAGGAUUUAGAGGAAGGAAGAGGAUGCUAUAAAAAAGUUUCAAAGAAGGAGGCUUGUUACAAGAGAAAGGCAGCAAUGGCGACUAGUGGGAAAAGACGAUUGGGGUGGGUGGACUGUGAGAGGAGGGGUACAUGCCCCUCUGAUGGGCCAGUGUCAGAAGAGCUCAGGGAGAAAGGAGAGGAGAUGGGGCGAUGAGGCAUUUGAAUAAGAGGUUUGGGGGAACUGGGGAUCUGGUGGAAGAGUCUGGAAAGGAGACAAGGAGAGACGGUGUGUGCUGGGCAGGCAGCCCGUUUCACAUAAAGUGGUUGGGGGCCCAUGCAGUUUCUAAUCACAAGGAAUUUAGAGUAGUUCAGCAUCAGGCAGGACCUCAUAGCCUUUUCUAUAAAUAGUGCCUGGGUUCUGGCUGGGAACCUUAGCGUCCGGAUUGGUAACAGUACCAACCAUUCCUGGGUCUGGUCCAAACAGCUACUAAGCCAGAAUACUGACACUUGAGACUGAAAAGGUACACAGAUCACAGAUGCUGGUAAAGUAAGGCCAUAUACAUGACAAUAGAACUCUGAGCCACAGCAGCAACCAAUCCGGGAAGCCCAACCUCAACCUCUGUGGCAUUCAGCCCAGGAUAAUCAGCACUUGGUCAAUGACUGCCAGCUUCCCUGUGUUUGAUCCCUGCUUCCAAUGCAGGACCAACCAGGGAAAGUCAAAUAUGCUCUCCAAGCUAAUAACAUAAGAUUCCCUGCUUCUAGUCAGCUUGCCCCCAGCUUCCCCAGGUCAACAGCCUCCAACCAGAGCUACCUAAUGCCUUCUCCUUUUUGCACUAUGAAGCUUUUCCACUCCCCUAUCUGCCUUAGACUCUCUGCCAAACACCAGUGAAGAUGGCUGUAUCUCUUGCUAGAGACAGCUCUGAAUAAUUAGCCACCAUUUGUUCUCAUUUGGGUGUUCUUUAUUUCCACACAAGUGGAAAAUAAACUUGGAAUGUGUCUCCAAAGGUAUCACAAACUUUGUGGAAUAAAACUCAUAAUAAGAACACACUGAAGGUAAUCUGAGGGGAAUAGAACUGCAACUUUAAAAUUUUAUUUAUUUAUUCGGCCUCACCUGUGGCAUGGAGAAGUUCCCAGGCCAAAGGUCAAACCUGAACCACAGAUAUAACAACAGGCCAUAGCAGUGGCCUGCUGUUUCUGCAGGAUAUGCUAUAGACAAUCAAGACAGAAUAAAGAUAAGGGUAAUACUGUCAUGAAAUAGAUUAUAAAACUGGCAAAAAGAUAAAUUUGAGUAAAAGAGGUGACUAUAAAAUGUCUGCUAGAAACAUAAUUCCUUCCAAAAUAGCAGAUGAGAUGCAUAUCUAACUUGCCUUGUUAAUGUUUCAGGAAUAAAACAAAACCACAAAACCAACAAGAUUGUGUGGAAUCGGAAGAGAAGCCAAAGCUAACAAUCUCCCUAGAAAGUUUCAAAAAUACGGGAGGAAUGAAAUUAAUUGAACCGAAUGGAAUGAACUGGAUAAUGCACAGUUUUGCAAGCAACAGACUAGGAAAGAUGGCUGGAUCUUGGGCGAGUUUUUUAAGAGUCUUGUAAUUGCUUCACUGUUGGAAAUUUAUCAGCCUAUUUUUUUUUCUUCUAUUCAGCAUUACAGCUAAGAGUACAUAUAAAGCAGUGAGGUCUGAAGUUACAUUACAUUAUUUUAGCAUAGGGUCUUAUUUCUGAUAUGCUAAUCUCAGUAGAUAUUGUGGGCAGUUAGGGAUAAAAGUUGAAAUAAAAAAAGCCAGCACCUACACUCUACUAUAGUUAUAUUUCCCACUGAGAGUUAGUGUUUUCAAACUGCCCACACUUUAUUUUAAUCACUGUUAUUUUCUAUCAUCCUAUUAUCACUUUACUGAAUCAAUUUAGGAAGUUUGUAUUGAAAAACAAUAUUGCUCAUGAUUUCGGUAGCUUAUUAGUCCUUUCUAACUAAAGUGGAAGAAGUAAGGGGCCACAACUUUGAAGAAAUGCUAGCCAAACCAAUUCACCUUUUUUAAAAAUUAAAUAUUUCUUAAGUGCGGUAUUUUGGGGGGCUUGAAUGAUCUGGAAAGCAUGUUCAAAGUAGUCCCCAGAAAGCACAACCUGACAAACAGAAAUUGUUGAUUAUGUGACGUUCCCACUUGUUGAGUAGGUAUGAGCAUCUGGGUGUUUAUGAAAUGCAUGCUAGCAUGCCACCUUUUCUACCAAAAGUCUCAAUUUUCCAGCUGUGCAAACAGUGCUCCCGUGACUAGGAGGCUACUGAUUGUAAAUGCACCAUCCUUUCAACAAUAGAUACUCUGGAAAAAAGAGGCCACUCUAUAAAAGGUACAUAUGGUUAUAAAUGCCAAAAUAGAAAGGUACAUCUUAGAAUACAGGUAACAUAAUGCUCUUGUAAACAUACAUAUAUAUACAUAUCUAAUAUGUACUUUUUCUCACAAGCAUACCUAUAUAUAUUUUAAUAUCUCUCCCUCUUUCUCAAACACACACACCCCAUCAUCAUCAUUAUCUAUGUGGGAAAACCUCCAACAUCACAGUAAAUAUAUUUCAAUCUCACAUCCUGAUUAACAGAUGCCAUCACUACAAGCACACUUCUCACAUAAGUGAAGCAAUUUUCACAGUUUGGGUGCCAUCUCCCUUCUUUAGAUAUUGUAGUGCAAAUGAGAAUUUCAGUUUGAUGAUAUCAUGGCAAGUUUAAAUUCACGGCAGUCAGGAAAUUCCCAAAGUAGAUGAAGAACUUCUAAACAUCACAUGUGCACGUGAAGGCUAAGUAUAAACAGCAAAGGUGAUCCCAAUGGCAAUUUUCAUUGUGUUUAGAGGCAUUUAAAUCAAAUCACAAAUGGAAAAUCAUAUAAAUCAAAUCCAUUUGUGAUCUGAUUUAUAUAAUCUUAAUUAUUUAGGACAGAUCACUUUCUAAAACUCAAUAAAAAGGUUAGAUGUGACAUUUGCAGGGGAAAGUAGGUGGGGGGAAUUAGACAUGGCUCCUAACCACAGGAGAAAAACAUAAGGCAAAGGAGAAAAGAUAAACAAGAAUAGAAGAUGACAUAGCCAUCUGUCAGCUCCCAAAGGAGACUUUGGUUUUCAUGAGGGUGUUUUCUGUUUUCUUUUUUAAUGCUUUAUCCAGCAGCAUGCUGCUCAGCUAUUGACAUUCAGGCAUAGGAGAGAGAUGAACACUACUGAUAAUAGGUAACUGCCUUUAGGUAUUCCCCUUUUAUUCAUUUUUUUGGCCACGCCCAUGGCAUGUGGAAGUUCCCUGGGCUAGAGAUUGAAGGGAUCAAGCACUAGCCACAUCCGCGACCAGAGCCACAGCAUAGUGAUAA